GUGCUCGCUUUGGCAGCACAUGUACUAAAACUGAAACAAUACAGAGAAGAUUAACAUGGCCUCUGCGCAAGGAUGACAUGCAAAUUCAUGAAGCGUUCCAUAUUUUU
rnacentral:snRNA from 1 species